AUUGAACGCUGGCGGCAGGCCUAACACAUGCAAGUCGAGCGGAUGAAGGGAGCUUGCUCCUGGAUUCAGCGGCGGACGGGUGAGUAAUGCCUAGGAAUCUGCCUGGUAGUGGGGGAUAACGUCCGGAAACGGGCGCUAAUACCGCAUACGUCCUGAGGGAGAAAGUGGGGGAUCUUCGGACCUCACGCUAUCAGAUGAGCCUAGGUCGGAUUAGCUAGUUGGUUGGGUAAAGGCCUACCAAGGCGACGAUCCGUAACUGGUCUGAGAGGAUGAUCAGUCACACUGGAACUGAGACACGGUCCAGACUCCUACGGGAGGCAGCAGUGGGGAAUAUUGGACAAUGGGCGAAAGCCUGAUCCAGCAAUGCCGCGUGUGUGAAGAAGGUCUUCGGAUUGUAAAGCACUUUAAGUUGGGAGGAAGGGCAGUAAGUUAAUACCUUGCUGUUUUGACGUUACCAACAGAAUAAGCACCGGCUAACCUCGUG
rnacentral:rRNA from 1 species